UGAGGCCGAGGAGUGGUUUGAG
rnacentral:misc_RNA from 1 species